rnacentral:rRNA from 1 species
UGCAAGUCGAACGGUGAAAGAGAGCUUGCUCUCUGGAUCAGUGGCGAACGGGUGAGUAACACGUGAGCAACCUGCCCCGGACUCUGGGAUAACAGUUGGAAACAGCUGCUAAUACCGGAUACGAGCUGCGAAGGCAUCUUCAGCAGCUGGAAAGAACUUCGGUCUGGGAUGGGCUCGCGGCCUAUCAGCUUGUUGGUGAGGUAACGGCUCACCAAGGCGUCGACGGGUAGCCGGCCUGAGAGGGUGACCGGCCACACUGGGACUGAGACACGGCCCAGACUCCUACGGGAGGCAGCAGUGGGGAAUAUUGCACAAUGGGCGAAAGCCUGAUGCAGCAACGCCGCGUGAGGGACGACGGCCUUCGGGUUGUAAACCUCUUUUAGCAGGGAAGAAGCGAAAGUGACGGUACCUGCAGAAAAAGCGCCGGCUAACUACGUGCCAGCAGCCGCGGUAAUACGUAGGGCGCAAGCGUUAUCCGGAAUUAUUGGGCGUAAAGAGCUCGUAGGCGGUCUGUCGCGUCUGCUGUGAAAACCCGAGGCUCAACCUCGGGCCUGCAGUGGGUACGGGCAGACUAGAGUGCGGUAGGGGAGAUUGGAAUUCCUGGUGUAGCGGUGGAAUGCGCAGAUAUCAGGAGGAACACCGAUGGCGAAGGCAGAUCUCUGGGCCGUAACUGACGCUGAGGAGCGAAAGGGUGGGGAGCAAACAGGCUUAGAUACCCUGGUAGUCCACCCCGUAAACGUUGGGAACUAGUUGUGGGGACCAUUCCACGGUUUCCGUGACGCAGCUAACGCAUUAAGUUUAGGUUCAGGUCUCGCAACGAGUUGNNNGGGNNGNUGAUUACCAUGCAAGUCGAACGGUGAAAGAGAGCUUGCUCUCUGGAUCAGUGGCGAACGGGUGAGUAACACGUGAGCAACCUGCCCCGGACUCUGGGAUAACAGUUGGAAACAGCUGCUAAUACCGGAUACGAGCUGCGAAGGCAUCUUCAGCAGCUGGAAAGAACUUCGGUCUGGGAUGGGCUCGCGGCCUAUCAGCUUGUUGGUGAGGUAACGG